rnacentral:rRNA from 1 species
GACGAACGCUGGCGGCGUGCCUAACACAUGCAAGUCAACUUGACGGAAGGAGCAAUCUGACCGUAGAGUGGCGCAAGGGUGCGUAACGCGUAAGUAACUUGCCCCAAGGUAAGGAAUAACGUCGAGAAAUCGGCGCUAAUACCUCAUAAUGCAGCGGAUCCGCAUGGAUAUGUUGUUAAAGGUUUACCGCCUUGGGAUAGGCUUGCGUCUGAUUAGCUAGUUGGUGUGGUAACGGCACACCAAGGCUACGAUCAGUAACUGGUCUGAGAGGAUGAUCAGUCACACUGGAACUGAGACACGGUCCAGACUCCUACGGGAGGCAGCAGUGAGGAAUAUUGGGCAAUGCUCGAAAGAGUGACCCAGCAACGCCGCGUGGAGGAUGAAGGUAUUCUAUAUCGUAAACUCCUGUGAGAGCAGACGAAAGACAGAUUAUUAAUCUGGAUGACUGUAUGCUCAGAGGAAGCCCCGGCUAACUACGUGCCA